rnacentral:lncRNA from 1 species
UUCGAUAUGUGUUGAUGUUAUUUUACCCAUGUUUUAACCGCUUCUUGAUGUUAUUUGAUCUUUAAAAUGCCCAACAUGGUUUAAUUAUUGGUUUUAUGACUAAUUGAGUUGUGUGUGGUGAAUUAGGGUGUUUGGAGUGCAAAAAUAUGAAGAAAAGGUGCUCUAGGUAGAGGAAGAGAGAUUGGAUGCGUCGCAUCCAACCUAGAAAAACAUCAUCUUUCGUGCACCCUUAGCAGUGAAGUCGGCCCAUAGCGUCCGCCAUAGCAUCCGAGACUGGGAAGUAGAAGAGAAGGGUGGAUGCGUCGCAUCCACCCUCGCAUGCAAAACUGGGAAGUAGAAGAGAAGAAGGAUGCGUCGCGUCCACCCUCACAUGCAAAGUUAAGAAAUGGAGGA